rnacentral:rRNA from 1 species
CCUACGGGAGGCAGCAGUGAGGAAUAUUGGUCAAUGGACGAGAGUCUGAACCAGCCAAGUAGCGUGAAGGAUGACUGCCCUAUGGGUUGUAAACUUCUUUUAUAUGGGAAUAAAACGUUCCACGUGUGGGAUUUUGUAUGUACCAUAUGAAUAAGGAACGGCUAACUCCGUGCCAGCAGCCGCGGUAAUCCGGAGGAUCCGAGCGUUUUCCGGAUUUAUUGGGUUUAAAGGGAGCGUAGGUGGAUUGUUAAGUCAGUUGUGAAAGUUUGCGGCUUAACCGUGAAAUUGCAGUUGAAACGGGCAGUCUUGAGUACAGUAGAGGUGGGCGGAAUUCGUGGUGUAGCGGUGAAAUGCUUAGAUAUCACGAAGAACUCCGAUUGCGAAGGCAGUUCACUGGACUGCAACUGACACUGAGGCUCGAAAGUGUGGGUAUCAAACAGGAUUAGAUACCCGUGUAGUC